rnacentral:rRNA from 1 species
UACAGGGGGUGCAAGCGUUGCUCGGAAUCACUGGGCGUAAAGCGAACGCAGGCGGACCGUCAAGUCAGGGGUGAAAGCCCGAGGCUCAACCUCGGAACUGCCUCUGAAACUGGCGAUCUUGAGUACGGGAGAGGUGAGUGGAAUUCCUGGUGUAGAGGUGAAAUUCGUAGAUAUCAGGAGGAACACCGGUGGCGAAGGCGGCCUUCUGGACAGUGACUGACGCUGAGACGCGAAAGCGUGGGGAGCAAACAGG